UACGUAGGGGGCAAGCGUUGUCCGGAAUUAUUGGGCGUAAAGAGCGUGUAGGCGGUCCGGUAAGUCGGCUGUGAAAGUCCAGGGCUCAACCCUGGGAUGCCGGUCGAUACUGCCGGACUAGAGUUCGGAAGAGGCGAGUGGAAUUCCUGGUGUAGCGGUGAAAUGCGGCAGAUAUCAGGAAGAACACCUAUGGCGAAGGCAGCACUCUGGGACGGUACUGACGCUGAGACGCGAAAGCGUGGGGAGCGAACAGG
rnacentral:rRNA from 1 species